rnacentral:piRNA from 1 species
UGAAGAGUAUUGUCGGGUUUAAUGUAUCUU